ACUAGCGUGUGAGUAAGUCCUUGAAAUCCACUGUGUAUUCUGCACUGAGCACACAGCUCAGUCUGUACCAGCUACAGUUCAAGUGACCAGAAGUCCCAUGCGGCUAGUGGCUAGUAGCUGCUGCAUUGGAAAGGCAGUUCCAGAAUGUAAUUUUUUCAACAGUUUCAUUCCUCAGAUACGAGCACCUUCAAGGGGAAGGGUACUGUGUUUGGGAGGAUCAAAAACUCAAGGCCAGGCAACUGCAAAUACCAUGCCUUAUCUGCUUUCUCCGAAAAAUGUUACUAGGAGGUAUCCAGGAUAUGAAUGAUCUGUUUUCCCAGCUUGGGUUGCUGACAACAAUCUUUGCUUUGUAGGUCCAAUCUGGCAAGUCUUAAAAGCUUAAUAAAUAGCCAGCUUUGUAAACGAGGUCCAGAAAUGACCAGCAAACUCCUCCUAUCUGCCCCUCAAACCUUCAAUACACGCUUCCCUUGCUUAAUACUGGCUAUGACCAGAACACAAAUCAAUUGAAUUUAGGCUCUAUCUAUGAGGAUCUUCCAAACUGCUCCACAUGCAGUCAAUUUGAAUGAGCAGACUGCUUGUCCAUUGCACUUUCUAAUCAGUGAUAUAACAUGUGCAGAGUUAAGGAUUCUUUUUUGGACAAAUAUUUCUUUAAAAAGGAAAAGAAGUUAUCUUUGUGUCAGGCUCUCUGUUAGGUACUUUUACACACACGAUCCACUUCAGUUGCUUCAACAGUUUUUCCAGGUAGGUACUGUUAUUUCUCUUUUCACAGAUGAGGAAAGUUGGAAAAGACCCUGAUGCUGGGAAAGAUCUGGGGCAAGAGUGGGCAACAGAGGAUGAGAUGGUUGGAUGGCAUCACUGAUUCAAUGGACAUGAGUUUGAGCAAGCUCUGGGACAUAGUGAAGGACAGGGAAGCCUGGUGUUCUGCAGUUCAUGGGAUCACAAAGAGACAGACACGGCCGAGCGGCAGAACAACAACUGUUAUUCCCCUUUGCACAGAUGAGGAAACUGGGCUCAGAGGGACAAGUAACUUGUUCAAGGUCCCACACAGUCAGCGAAUGGAAGGGCUGAACCUCUGUCAGCCUUGGUCCAAAGUCCAAGUUCUUUUUACACUGCUCUGGGCUCCCCAGUUUCCAGGGGAAACUAGUUUAGUUUUCUAGUUGCUAGCUAAAUCCCAAUUAUAUGAUUAGGCCACCCAAGAUGGCUAUUCUCUUGCUCUUCCUGCUUGACCAAUGCCUGUCUCACCUACACCCCGAUUGACUUUCCCUCUUAAUCAGAGAGCCUAACCAGUAAAUGCCUAUGUACUUGCCCCCAGCCCCAGCUAGUGAUUGUUCUAAUCUUCAGAUCAGAGCCAUCUCCACUAUGAUAGUUUAUCAAAGGGGCAAUGAGAGGCGUGCCCCUCUGCUGGUUUCUCUGGCAACUGAUGAGCCAAUCUGAUAUUAAUUAACCCUAUAACUGGUUACCUCCUUUUCCCUCUGGUAGCAAAGACUACUGCCACGUUCUGCCGGCUGUCUGCUGCACACAUUGGGGCGUUGCUCCAGGACCUUGCUUCAGUCACGUAAGAUCCUCCCUCCAUUAAACUAUCAAUGUCUCUGUUACUGACUCCAGGCUUUAGUCUUGAGGCUGGGCAAGCACAGGGCUUGCAGGCACAGUGUCUUCGGAGAUAUUCUUUCAGAGUCAGGGGAGGGAGGCUCAGAAGAGUAUUCUAGAGAAGGCAGCACUUUACAUCGUGCUUUCAAGAAUGGCGAGGACAUGGAAAGACAGGGGACCCUCCCAGGUAGCAAUUCCAGGUCGUGAGACUAAACGCAAGCCGGGCAAGCUGGCAGCCUCUGCUCACAGGCCUUCUUCCACUCCCAUCUUCCCUACCAACAUCCAUCCAGGUUUCUCCUGGCCCAGGUUAAAUGCCUGACACCUUCAGGCUGAAAGAGGUGUCCAUUUCCUAUUCACUCAUGACACCCUGUGAUUAUUUCUAUCACUGCUACUUCCUUAUUAAAUGAUUCUGCAUUCAACUAUAUAUAAAAUAAGUAACGAAUAAAGACCUACUGUGUAGCACAGGGAACUCUACCCCAUACUCUGUAAUGGUGCAUAUGGGAAAAGAAUCUAAAAAAGAGUGAGUAUAUUUAUAUAUAUAGCUGAUUCACUUUCUGUACACCUGAAAUUAACACAAAUUAUAAAAUCAGCUAUACUCCAAUAAAAUUUUUUAAAAAAUUAAAAAUGAUUGUGUUUUGUGUUCCCUUCUUGAGGUCAAGGAUUUCAUAUAUUUUUGAAGCCCCAGAGACAAAACAAUGC
ensembl:lncRNA